CAAGUCGAACGCGAAAGUCCCCUUCGGGGGACAAGUAGAGUGGCGCACGGGUGAGUAACACGUAGGUAAUCUACCUUCGGAUGGGGAAUAACAACCGGAAACGGUUGCUAAUACCGCAUAAUGCAGCGGCACCUAAUGGUGACAGUUGUUAAAGCGGGGGAUCGAAAGACCUCGCGUCUGAAGAGGAGCCUGCGGCGGAUUAGCUAGUUGGUAGGGUAACGGCCUACCAAGGCUUCGAUCCGUAGCCGGCCUGAGAGGGCGGUCGGCCACACUGACACUGACAUACGGGUCAGACUCCUACGGGAGGCAGCAGUCGGGAAUUUUGGGCAAUGGGCGAAAGCCUGACCCAGCAACGCCGCGUGAAGGAUGAAAUCCCUCGGGAUGUAAACUUCGCAAGAACGGGAAGAAUAAGUAGUGGACAACACCCCCUAUGAUGACGGUACCGUUUGUAAGCUCCGGCUAACUCCGUGCCAGCAGCCGCGGUAAUACGGGGGGAGCAAGCGUUGUUCGGAUUUACUGGGCGUAAAGGGCGCGUAGGCGGCCUCCGCAAGUCAAUUGUGAAAUCUCCGGGCUUAACUCGGAAAGGUCAACUGAUACUGCGGGGCUAGAGUGCGGAAGGGGCAACUGGAAUUCUUGGUGUAGCGGUGAAAUGCGUAGAUAUCAAGAGGAACACCUGCGGCGAAGGCGGGUUGCUGGGCCGACACUGACGCUGAGGCGCGAAAGCUAGGGGAGCGAACGGGAUUAGAUACCCCGGUAGUCCUAGCCUUAAACGAUGAAUGCUUGGUGUCUGGGGUUAUAUAGUCCCCGGGUGCCGUC
rnacentral:rRNA from 1 species